GGAUGGGAAAGGGUGGUGAAGGAGGAGGAGGAGAGAGAGAUGGGAAAGAGGAGAACAUGGCUGCAUGGCUGGUCGCUAUCAACACCCUGAAGAUCCUGCCCUUCAACCUCCCACCUCUUGGACCAUAUGAUGUUCGGGUGCGGAUGAAGGCAGUGGGUAUCUGUGGCAGUGAUGUUCACUACCUCAGAGCGAUGAGAUGUGCGGAUUUUGUGGUGAAGGAGCCGAUGGUUAUCGGGCAUGAGUGUGCCGGGGUUGUAGAGGAAGUGGGGAGUGCAGUGAAGUCCCUCAUCCCGGGGGAUCGGGUGGCUUUGGAGCCUGGGAUUAGCUGCUGGAGAUGCAACCAUUGCAAGGGGGGUCGGUAUAAUCUGUGUCCUGAUAUGAAGUUUUUCGCGACUCCUCCGGUUCAUGGAUCUCUUGCUCAUCAGGUGGUGCAUCCUUCAGAUCUGUGUUUUAAGCUCCCUGAUGACUUGAGUUUAGAGGAAGGCGCAAUGUGUGAACCUCUUAGUGUUGGGAUCCAUGCUUGUCGCCGGGCUGGUAUUGGUCCAGAGAAGAAUGUGCUGAUCAUGGGAGCUGGACCAAUUGGAUUAGUCACGAUGCUUGCUGCCCGAGCUUUUGGGGCUCCAAGAAUCAUAAUAGCGGAUGUUGAUGAUUACCGUUUGUCAGUUGCAAAGUCUCUUGGUGUUGAUGAUUUUGUCAAGGUUUCUACCAAUAUUCAGGACCUCGGCGAGGAGGUGGCAAACAUACGUAGAGCUAUGGGUGCUGAAGUCGAUGUGACCUUCGACUGCGCCGGCUUUAGCAAAACAAUGUCCACUGCUCUGAAUGCUACCAGCCCUGGUGGAAAAGUUUGUCUGGUGGGAAUGGGUCACGAUGAGAUGACUCUCCCUCUCACUUCAGCUUCAGCAAGGGAAGUCGAUGUCAUCGGCAUUUUUCGUUACAAGGAUACCUGGCCUUUAUGCAUUGAGUUCCUGAAGAGCGGAAAGAUCGAUGUGAAACCUCUGAUAACACACCGAUUUGGGUUCUCUCAGGAGGAGGUUGAGGAAGCUUUUGAAGUCAGUGCUCGCGGAGGAAGUGCAAUCAAGGUGAUGUUUAAUCUGUAGCUGCUCAGCGAGCCUUUUGCCUGUAGCAGUGAUCUAGUCUCAAAUUAUGAGCAAUAAUGCCUAUCAAGGCGAUGUUUAAUCUGUAGCUGCUAAGCAAGCUUUUUACCUAUAGUAGUGAUCUGGUCUCAAGUUAUGAACAAUAAUGACUCCAUGUUUGAACCAUAAAUCUAUAGUCAAG
rnacentral:misc_RNA from 1 species